rnacentral:rRNA from 1 species
CCUACGGGAGGCAGCAGUAGGGAAUCUUCCACAAUGGGCGCAAGCCUGAUGGAGCAACACCGCGUGAGUGAAGAAGGGUUUCGGCUCGGAAAGCUCUGUUGUUGGAGAAGAAAGUGCGGGAGAGUAACCGUUCACGCAGUGACGGUAUCCAAACAGAAAGUCACGGCUAACUACGUGCCAGCCGCUGCGGUAAUACGGCGGUGGCAAGCGUUAGCCGGAUUGAUUGGGCGUAAAGCGAGCGCAGGCGGUUGCUUAGGUCUGAUGUGAAAGCCUUCGGCUUAACCGAAGAAGUGCAUCUGAAACCGGGCGACUUGAGUGCAGAAGAGGAAAGUGGAACUCCAUGUGUAGCGGUGGAAUGCGUAGAUAUAUGGAAGAACACCGGUGGCGAAGGCAGCUGUCUGGUCUGCAACUGACGCUGAGGCUCGAAAGCAUGGGUAGCGAACAGGAUUAGAUACCCUGGUAGUC